AUUGAACGCUGGCGGCAGGCCUAACACAUGCAAGUCGAGCGGAUGAAGGGAGCUUGCUCCUGGAUUCAGCGGCGGACCGGUGAGUAAUGCCUAGGAAUCUGCUUGGUAGUGGGGGAUAACGUCUGGAAACGGGCGCUAAUACCGCAUACGUCCUGAGGGAGAAAGUGGGGGAUCUUCGGACCUCACGCUAUCAGAUGAGCCUAGGUCGGAUUAGCUAGUUGGUGGGGUAAAGGCCUACCAAGGCGACGAUCCGUAACUGGGCUGAGAGGAUGAUCAGUCACACUGGAACUGAACCACGGUCAAGACGCCUAAGGGAGGCAGCAGUGGGGAAUAUUGGACAAUGGGCGAAAACAUGAUCCAGCCAGGCGGCGUGUGUGAAGAAGAUCUGCGGAUUGUAAAGCACGUUAAGUUGGGGGAAAGGGCAGUAAGUUGAUACCUUGCUGUAUUGACGGUACCAGCAGAAGAAGCACCGGCUAACUUCGUG
rnacentral:rRNA from 1 species